ensembl:lncRNA
UGCAAAGGCACGGGGUGAGGGGUGGAGGAGGGCGAGGCAGGGAGAUGGUCUUACAUCCACUGGUUCACCCCCCAGUUGGCCGCAAUGGCCAGAGCUGCACCAACCCCAAGACAGGAGCCAGAAGCUUCUUCCAGGUCUCCCACGCGGAUGCAGGCGCCCAAGCACUUGGCCUAUCUUCUACUGCUUUCCCAGGCCAUACAGAGAGCUGGAUCAGAAGUGGAGCAGCUGGGACUUCAACAGGCGUGCCCAUAUGGGAUGCUGGCACUGCAGGCGGCGGCCUAACCCGCUGGGCCACUGCACCGGCCCCAGUAUUUGAUUUCUUAUUCAAUAUUGGUAAGUUCUAUGUGGCUAAGAAUUGGCCCAUCUCUCCUAGGUUAUCAAACUUGUUCCCCCGUAAUCGUUGACAAUCAUCUAUAGCAAUCCUUCUCUGAAGACCGCGAGAGGGAGAGAGAGAGGGCCUUCCGCCCCUGGGUCACUCCCCGGGCAGCUCCUUGACUGGAGUCUAUGGGGCAUCGUCUUCAGCACGGUCCGGUUUCCGAGCGGGGAGAAACCAGGGCUCGCGGCAUUCGCAGCUCCCCGGCUCUGAAGUACUUUCACCCCGAGCCUACGGGAAAUCAGCCCCCUCAGGAACCAGUAAGACGCCUACGCAGCAGAGAACUCGGCAGGCGGCGUCCACCAUGCCCCGCAGACGAACGUUUCCCAGAGGCCCCUGGGGAUCUGUUAGGGCUGUGCGGAGUUGCAUGCUGGGAAAGCGCGCGGACUGGGGCGUUGUGGACUCCCUUUCCCAGAGGCCUAUGGGGAGUGUGCAGCGUGGCAUGCUGGGAGGGUGAUUCCUUCUCUCUGGUCCCAUCUGGGCGCAAUCCGGAGUUCCCCGCUGCCGGGCUCCGGUCCUGUCCUCUCGGAGCAGCUGUCCUACACCUAAGGAAGUGCCCUGAAGAGGACCAGAAAUUGUAACACAUCUUCACAUCAAGGCUCAGAAAAAGGUUUCAAGAUGGCUUUGUGACAUAGCAGAUACAGCUGCCAACUGCAACAUCAGCAUUCCAUAUGGGUGCCAGUUCAGCUCCCAGCUGCUCCACUUCAGAUCCACACCCUGAUAAUGGCCUCAGAAAAGCAGUGUAAAAUGGCCCAAGGAUUUGGCUUUUAGCUUUGGCCUGGCCCAGCCCUGAUUGUUGUGGCCAUCGGGGGUAUACACCAGAGGAUGGAAGUUAAGUAAUUUUCCAAAGAAUGUUGGUAUGCAUCACCAUGGAGUGCCAUGUGAUAUCUGAAUUGCAUAAAAAGGGGGCUGCAUGUCAACAUGAUGCAGCAUACUCCAUCUGGAGAGCAAACUGGUACUUAAUUAGCUUUAUACUAGUAUCUUACAAAUGAAUGUGCUGUGAAUUAUCUAUGGUGUUUCAACAUUGCAAUAUAUCCAAAAAAGUAUUGGUGAUGAUUAUUUCUUGUGAUCUUUUCAUGUAAGGAAGAAGGAACAUGAAAGGAGGACUUCAGAUGUAAAGUACGUUGGCCCAAGUGCUGUACCCACGUAGGAGACCAGGGAGAAGCUCCUGGCCUCCUGGCUUUGGCCUAGCCCAGCCCUAGCCAUUGCAGCCAUUUAGGGAAUGGACCAGCAGAUGGAAGAAUCCCUUUCUCUCUCUCUCCCUCUCCCAGUCUCUCUUUCUCUCUCUAACUCUGCCUUUCAAAUAAAUAAUCCUUUAAAAAAAAGGCUCUUCA